rnacentral:rRNA from 1 species
GACGAACGCUGGCGGCGUGCCUAAUACAUGCAAGUCGAGCGAAGUUUUUCUGGUGCUUGCACUAGAAAAACUUAGCGGCGAACGGGUGAGUAACACGUAAAGAACCUGCCUCAUAGACUGGGACAACUAUUGGAAACGAUAGCUAAUACCGGAUAACAGUAUUUCUCGCAUGAGAGAUAUUUAAAAGUUGGUUAUGCUAACACUAUGAGAUGGCUUUGCGGUGCAUUAGCUAGUUGGUGGGGUAAAGGCCCACCAAGGCGACGAUGCAUAGCCGACCUGAGAGGGUGAUCGGCCACACUGAGACUGAGACACGGCCCAGACUCCUACGGGAGGCAGCAGUAGGGAAUCUUCCGCAAUGGGCGAAAGCCUGACGGAGCAACGCCGCGUGAGUGAAGAAGGAUUUCGGUUCGUAAAGCUCUGUUGUUAGGGAAGAAUGGAUAUGUAGUAACUAUACAUGUAAGAGACGGUACCUAACCAGAAAGCCACGGCUAACUACGUG